GUGGGGGAUAUUGCACAAUGGGGGAAACCCUGAUGCAGCGACGCCGCGUGAAGGAAGACGUACUUCGGUAUGUAAACUUCUAUCAGCAGGGAAGAAGAUGACGGUACCUGACUAAGAAGCCCCGGCUAACUACGUGCCAGCAGCCGCGGUAAUACGUAGGGGGCAAGCGUUAUCCGGAUUUACUGGGUGUAAAGGGAGCGUAGACGGUGAAGCAAGUCUGAUGUGAAAACCCGGGGCUCAACUCCGGGAUUGCAUUGGAAACUGUUUUACUUGAGUGCUGGAGGGGCAAGCGGAAUUCCUGGUGUAGCGGUGAAAUGCGUAGAUAUCAGGAAGAACAACGGUGGCGAAGGCGGCUUGCUGGACAGUAACUGACGUUGAGGCUCGAAAGCGUGGGGAGCAAACAGGAUUAGAUACCCCAGUAGUCC
rnacentral:rRNA from 1 species